rnacentral:rRNA from 1 species
AUUGAACGCUGGCGGCAGGCUUAACACAUGCAAGUCGAAUGAGUGGCGGACGGGUGAGUAAUGAAUGGGAAACUAGCUUAUGGAGGGGGAUAACUACGGGAAACAGUAGCUAAUACCGCGUACAACAGGAUGAGCCCAAGUGGGAUUAGGUAGUUGGUGAGGUAAAGGCUCACCAAGCCGACGAUCUCUAGCUGGUCUGAGAGGAUGACCAGCCACCCUGGGACUGAGACACGACCCAGACUCCUACGGGAGGCAGCAGUGGGGAAUCUUGCGCAAUGGGAGCAACCUGACGCAGCCAUGCCGCGUGAUUGAAGAAGGCCUUCGGGUUUUAAAGUUCUUUCGGUAGCGAUGCGUUAACUACAGAAGAAGCACCGGCUAACUCCGUGCCAGCAGCCGCGGUAAUAC